AGUGAACGCUGGCGGUAGGCCUAACACAUGCAAGUCGAACGGCAGCACAGUAAGAGCUUGCUCUUACGGGUGGCGAGUGGCGGACGGGUGAGGAAUACAUCGGAAUCUACUUUUUCGUGGGGGAUAACGUAGGGAAACUUACGCUAAUACCGCAUACGACCUACGGGUGAAAGCAGGGGAUCUUCGGACCUUGCGCGAUUGAAUGAGCCGAUGUCGGAUUAGCUAGUUGGCGGGGUAAAGGCCCACCAAGGCGACGAUCCGUAGCUGGUCUGAGAGGAUGAUCAGCCACACUGGAACUGAGACACGGUCCAGACUCCUACGGGAGGCAGCAGUGGGGAAUAUUGGACAAUGGGCGCAAGCCUGAUCCAGCCAUGCCGCGUGAGUGAAGAAGGCCCUCGGGUUGUAAAGCCCUUUUGUUAGGAAAGAAAAGCAGCAGGUUAAUACCCCGCUGUUCUGACGGUACCCAAAGAGUAAGCACCGGCUAACUUCGUG
rnacentral:rRNA from 1 species